rnacentral:rRNA from 1 species
AGGGAAUCUUCCGCAAUGGACGAAAGUCUGACGGAGCAACGCCGCGUGAGUGAUGAAGGUUUUCGGAUCGUAAAACUCUGUUGUUAGGGAAGAACAAGUACCGUUCGAAUAGGGCGGUACCUUGACGGUACCUAACCAGAAAGCCACGGCUAACUACGUGCCAGCAGCCGCGGUAAUACGUAGGUGGCAAGCGUUGUCCGGAAUUAUUGGGCGUAAAGCGCGCGCAGGCGGUUUCUUAAGUCGGAUGUGAAAGCCCCGGGCUCAACCGGGGAGGGUCAUUGGAAACUGGGGAACUUGAGUGCAGAAGAGGAGAGUGGAAUUCCACGUGUAGCGGUGAAAUGCGUAGAGAUGUGGAGGAACACCAGUGGCGAAGGCGACUCUCUGGUCUGUAACUGACGCUGAGGCGCGAAAGCGUGGGGAGCGAAC